rnacentral:misc_RNA from 1 species
GAAAUGCGAUACGUAAUGCGAAUUGCAGAAUUCAGUGAAUCAUCAAAUCUUUGAACGCAACUUGCGCUCUCGGGUAGCCCUGGGAGCAUACCCCUUCGAGUGUCUUUUCUAACCAAACUCGCCUGCGUGCUCACAAGGCGCGCUGGGCGGAGAGUGGGCUUCUCCUUGCGAAUAGCGAUGGAGUGGCCUCAAGGAAAGUGAACCUUUCGCUCAUCACGUUGAGUUAUUCAACUUGCUGAUGUCGUUAACUUUCGGCCGAUGCCGGAACCAUACACAUCGGGCAUGGGAUGCUCAGUUAUGCGGGAUGCUGUGAAGGUUUCCUCGGUCGUUGGAGCUUGCAUUCACUUGCGAGUUUUCCAGGACAACACCUCGAUUUUGACCUCGAAUGGAGUAAGAACAC